UACGUAGGGGGCUAGCGUUGUCCGGAAUCAUUGGGCGUAAAGAGCGUGUAGGCGGUCCGGUAAGUCCGUUGUGAAAGUCAGGGGCUCAACCCUUGAAUGCCGGCGGAUACUGUCGGGCUAGAGUCCGGAAGAGGCAAGUGGAAUUCCCGGUGUAGCGGUGAAAUGCGUAGAUAUCUGGAGGAACACCCGUGGCGAAGGCGACUUCCUGGCCUGUUCUUGACGCUGAGGCGCGAAAGCUAGGGGAGCAAACGGG
rnacentral:rRNA from 1 species